UAGUAAAAAUGGAUACAUAAGGGUGGAAAAUCACAGGAAUAAUACCAUUAUUCCUGUGAUUUUCCACCCUUAUGUAUCCAUUUUUACUA
rnacentral:pre_miRNA from 1 species